AACAUCUUGUAGGCAUCUGUUAACCAUCAACGUGUGGCUGCUGAAUACGUGACAGCUGCCACCAGUGUGAAUCAGCAGACCAUUGACCUUCGCCACCUGACUGCCAGCUUUGAAUGUUAGCUCCCCCUGUAUCCCCUUAUAAGAAGACCUCAGUCCCUGAGCUAGCACCUCUCCGAGCUACUCGGCUCCAGGAGUGCCGUCUGGCCAGACUCAUAAAGGUCUGUUUCAUUUUCCAGCUUGUCUGGUGUGCUCCUUCCCGGGUGAUUCUCACGGCUGUUGAGCUUCUUGGAGCAGUUGUGUUCUCCUGCUGUCUGCCUGUCUCUGCCAGUGACCUUGGCAGUAGCAGCUCCCUCAAGGCUGGCUGCAUUCGCUCAUCACAAACCCAGGAAAAUCACCCACUGUGGUAUCACCGAGCCUUGAGCCUGUGGCAUCUUCUGCCUGGAGCAUCAUCCUCCUGGAGUCCGUCAGGCCACCCCACAGCCCCUCAAAUAUCACCUUGCUGGACAUUUUCCAGAUCUCCUCUGGGCUCCCUUGGCAUUGUGACCCUUGCCUAUCACACUGAACUAGGUCGUGGCCGUGCAGCUCUUGGGGAUGGACCAUAAAGACGAGCGUUCUUCUCAAAUCAACAACAACAAUAAAUAAAAGGCACUCAGCAAGUAUGUGUUAUUGCAAUGUCUGCCCAUCUUGUGUCUGUCUCAGGAUGGCAUGGGUUUUGUUUUGCUUUGUUUUGUUUUUGUCUUGUGGUGCUAGGGAUUGAACCAGGGCCUUGCACAUGCUUAGGCAAGUGCUGUCCCAGUGAGCUAGGUGGCAAGUGCCUGUUCUCUACAAGCCUUGCAUAUAAAAUCUGAAAAAUGGAUUAGAGCAGCAUUUAUGCCUUGUUUUGUUUGUUUGUUU